GACAUAGGUGGCAAGCGUUAUUCGGAAUUACUAGGCGUAAAGCGAGUGUAGGCGGGCGCUUAAGUCCGACGUGAAAUCUCCCCGGCUUAACUGGGAGGGGGUCGUCGGAUACUGGGUGUCUUGAGUGGGGUAGGGGCAGCGGAAUUCCCCGGUGUAGCGGUGAAAUGCGUAGAUAUCGGGAGGAACACCUAUGGCGAAAGCAGCUGCCUGGGCCUUUACUGACGCUAAGACUCGAAAGCUAGGGGAGCAAACAGG
rnacentral:rRNA from 1 species